UGGGGAAUAUUGCACAAUGGGCGGAAGCCUGAUGCAGCGACGCCGCGUGGGGGAUGACGGCCUUCGGGUUGUAAACCUCUUUCGCUAGGGACGAAGCGUUUGUGACGGUACCUAGAGAAGAAGCACCGGCUAACUACGUGCCAGCAGCCGCGGUAAUACGUAGGGUGCGAGCGUUGUCCGGAAUUACUGGGCGUAAAGAGCUCGUAGGUGGUUUGUCGCGUCGUUUGUGAAAUUCCGGGGCUUAACUCCGGGGUGGCAGGCGAUACGGGCAUAACUUGAGUGCUGUAGGGGAGACUGGAAUUCCUGGUGUAGCGGUGGAAUGCGCAGAUAUCAGGAGGAACACCGAUGGCGAAGGCAGGUCUCUGGGCAGCUACUGACGCUGAGGAGCGAAAGCAUGGGUAGCGAACAGG
rnacentral:rRNA from 1 species